AGGGCUUGACAUGUCGCUGACCGCCGGUGAAAGCCGGUUUCCCUUCGGGGCAGCAUCUGUGGUGCACCCUCGAAGGUCACACGUUUCCGUGCGCUUGCAGCACCAUGUCAAGCCCAGGUAAGGUUCUUCGCGUUGCAUCGAAUUAAAGAACAUGCUCCGCUGCUUGUGCGGGCCCCCGUCAAUUCCUUUGAGUUUUAGCCUUGCGGCCGUAGUCCCCAGGCGGAGUACUUAAUGCGUUAGCGACGGCACCGAGGGGGUCGAUACCCCCGACACCUAGUACCCAUCGUUUACGGCGUGGACUAC
rnacentral:misc_RNA from 1 species